rnacentral:lncRNA from 1 species
UGCUCCUUGUAGGUAUCAAGCUAUACCAAAUUCUGGUUGCUUCAGCAAGAAUAAUGUGGAAAGCUCUACAUUUUAAUGUUGGUGAGGCUCAUUUCAGCUUAUAUGAGUCUUAUAAUUGUUAAGGUGUCUUGCUCGAUUACAUUUUCCUAUAUAUUUAGGAAUCUUAGGUGGUAUUAAGUGGCUAGGCAUAGGGGCAUUCCUUAAUUCUUGUGAAAAAUAAGAGUCUAUCAUCAUCACCAUCAUCUAAUCUAUAGGACCUACAUGGCCCAUCUAAAUCCUUCCCCUCAACUUAUUAUCUGGGCAGCUGAGAAUGUCCUUGAUUCCUUUCUAGGCAGACGGACUUGUUGUAGCCAAUGGUCCUGUACAUCCUCGCGUUGUAUUGAUGUAAGAGGUCAUUUUUUGGGCCUAUUUCUAAGCUUUGAUAGACCAAUCCUACCAAAUCCACUUGUGGACCUUUGGGAACUUUCCUCUUGCUCAUACCCAGGGGGGAAAUUAUCCUCCAUUGAUGGCAUCUGACUUGCAGGUCGACUGGAUUGUAAUUUAUGGAUAUAUUCAUUCUUACUAGAUUGCCUAUGCGAAUACUCCCUUUUACUUUGAAAAUGU